GCAAACUUGGUCAUUUAGAGGAAGUAAAAGUCGUAACAAGGUUUCCGUAGGUGAACCUGCGGAAGGAUCAUUAAUGAGUGAUUUGAUCCAGUUUUGGAUCGGUUACCCGACCUUUUGUCAUGAGCUCCGGGAGGGACGUAGUCCUGACCGGGAAAAGUAACUUCGGCGGAAGAGGUAGGCGUUUUUGACCUGCCCGCCGCCGGCCUAUAUUUUCCAAUUCUUGCGAGAACGAUGAAGAUAGAGAAACAGAAUACAAAAUGAAAAAGCAAAACUUUCAACAACGGAUCUCUUGGCUCUGGCAUCGAUGAAGAACGCAGC
rnacentral:misc_RNA from 1 species